UACGAAGGGGGCUAGCGUUGCUCGGAAUCACUGGGCGUAAAGGGUGCGUAGGCGGGUCUUUAAGUCAGGGGUGAAAUCCUGGAGCUCAACUCCAGAACUGCCUUUGAUACUGGGAGCCUUGAGUUCGGGAGAGGUGAGUGGAACUGCGAGUGUAGAGGUGAAAUUCGUAGAUAUUCGCAAGAACACCAGUGGCGAAGGCGGCUCACUGGCCCGAUACUGACGCUGAGGUGCGAAAGCGUGGGGAGCAAACAGGG
rnacentral:rRNA from 1 species